rnacentral:rRNA from 1 species
UACGUAGGGGGCAAGCGUUGUCCGGAUUUAUUGGGCGUAAAGAGCGUGUAGGCGGCUAUACAGGUCCGCUGUGAAAACUCGAGGCUCAACCUCGAGACGUCGGUGGAAACCGUAUGGCUAGAGUCCGGAAGAGGAGAUCGGAAUUCCUGUGUAGCGGUGAAAUGCGCAGAUAUCAGGAGGAACACCGGUGGCGAAGGCGGAUCUCUGGGCCUUACCUGACGCUGAGGCGCGAAAGCUAGGGGAGCGAACAGG